rnacentral:rRNA from 1 species
UACGUAGGUGGCAAGCGUUGUCCGGAUUUACUGGGCGUAAAGAGCGCGCAGGCGGUCGUUCAAGUCGCGUGUGAAAGCCCCCGGCUCAACUGGGGAGGGUCACGCGAUACUGAUCGACUCGAAGGCAGGAGAGGGUAGUGGAAUUCCCGGUGUAGUGGUGAAAUGCGUAGAUAUCGGGAGGAACACCAGUGGCGAAGGCGGCCAUCUGGACGGAUACUGACGCUGAGACGCGAAAGCGUGGGUAGCAAACAGG